rnacentral:misc_RNA from 1 species
CUGUUGCUUCGGCGGGUAGGGUCUCCGCGACCCUCCCGGCCUCCCGCCUCCGGGCGGGUCGGCGCCCGCCGGAGGAUAACCAAACUCUGAUUUAACGACGUUUCUUCUGAGUGGUACAAGCAAAUAAUCAAAACUUUUAACAACGGAUCUCUUGGUUCUGGCAUCGAUGAAGAACGCAGCGAAAUGCGAUAAGUAAUGUGAAUUGCAGAAUUCAGUGAAUCAUCGAAUCUUUGAACGCACAUUGCGCCCGCCAGCAUUCUGGCGGGCAUGCCUGUUCGAGCGUCAUUUCAACCCUCAAGCUCUGCUUGGUGUUGGGGCCCUACAGCCGAUGUAGGCCCUCAAAGGUAGUGGCGGACCCUCCCGGAGCCUCCUUUGCGUAGUAACUUUACGUCUCGCACUGGGAUCCGGAGGGACUCUUGCCGUAAAACCCCCCAAUUUUCCAAAGGUUGACCUCGGAUCAGGUAGGAAUACCCGCUGAACUUAAGCAUAUCAANCCGG